ACUGCGCCGUAGCACCGUGAUUGAACGUAGAGAGAGACACACGCUAUAUUUGUAUCUGCCAUUUUGCAACUGGUAAACAGGCGCGGGUCUUUCAGUCGAAAUUGUUGCACGGGAAACACACUGAAUGUAAAUCGAUCGCGUGUACAGCGGUACGGUUUGGGAUCGUACUACGAUUGAUCGAACGAAUGGUUCUGAGCUUGAUUCCUGUCGUAGUCGGAACGCGGAAUCCACAAGAGCAGAUUUCUCGGUUUUCUUUUUUCUACUUUACCGUCUCGGCCGAUCAGUGACUCAUAAUUCCACGGAUGCUCCAAUGCUAUUGAUAAAAUAGAAUAUAUCGUACCUGUCAUUUGCUUUCAAAACAACAACCUGAAAUUUGAGCAAUAAAAUUGGAAAUAUCUGAAAAAUGAUGGACAUUGACCCUCCACAGUUUGUGUCUAAGGAUGAUGAAGUCCGGUAUUGGAAAGAUCUUGCUAAUCAAUUACAUAGAAGAAAAGAAGACACAGAAAGGGAAUUGGAAGAGUUUCAAGAAAACUCACAAUUGUUAGAGAAAGAAUUGGAAGCAUCUUUGGAACAAGCGGAGAAAACUAGUAGAGAACUACGACAACGAAACAUUAGAUUAGCCACAGAGGUGGAGCAAUUGAGAACAAGAUUAGAUCAACAAACAGCAGAUUGUUCGAUGUUUCAAGGAAAGGCUCAAGAUCUGCAAGCACAACAUGAUCAUUUAUUGAAGUAUAUAAGGGAAUUAGAACAAAAAAAUGAUGAUUUAGAAAGAGCUCAUAGGAUAAAUAGGGUAACAGAAGAGGAGAUAGAAGCUAAACUUAAUUCAGCCAUUGAAAAGAAUGCUUUGCUGGAAUCAGAACUUGAUGAAAAAGAAGGCCUAAAAGUAAUAGUACAGAGAUUAAUGGAUGAAAUUAGAGAUUUAAAGCAGGAGAUUCAAGUUCAAGAAAGACAUCAACCAGAUAAUGAUAAAUCUGCUGAUAGAGUUCGUAAUCAUGUUGAUAGUAAUAAGCUACAAGUUGAAUUGGAAACUCAUAUAUCAUCUACCCCAAUAGUACAACAAUCCAUAUCUCCAAGUAAUACAACUUCACCACUAAAAAUUGGAAACAGAAUGGUAGGGGGUGUAACUGGGAACAACAAUAACAAUAAUAAUGUGAAUCCACCAUUGGCUCCAUGCACAAGAAUAUUAGCGAUGAGUAUGAUCGGUGACCUUAUGAGGAAAGUUGGACUUGACAGGUGGGUCUGCAUGGAGUGUAGGAGGGUAAAGUGCACUUGUCUGGGUGGGAAAAAAACAGUGUCCACUACACCCACUGAUUUACCAUCUGUCCAGGCUCAUACACCUACUCAAUGUAUACGACAACAACCCAGAUCAACCAAGUGCUGACCAAGCCUCCAUGAUAUUUCACCGUUAAAUUAUUUUCCACAUUCUUAUGACACAGGCGUUGGAGAAUAAGCUAAACACAUGUCAAAAUCCAUCUCGAGAGGAUCAAGCCGUCCGUGAUCUCUACAGGUAACAUUAGAGCAACGUUAUAAUGUUGAAAAAUUACAUCAUUAUUCCGUUACCUUUGUGCACUGCGUGUACUUGUAGUAAAUGGUAUCAUGUAUCAAUAUUUGCAUUGUAACACAUUUUUGUAACGAAUUAUCGAUAAUUAUUUUCAACAAUCAAAGAAUUAAUAAAUUAUUUUUAGUACAGCAGCGCCCUUUUAUGAAAGGGCUCUUGAUAAAUUUAUUAUUGACAGUGAUAAAAAAUGAUACAUGAUAAUUGUUAAAUUAAACGUACUUAUUUAGUUUUAUAUUCACUCUUUUACAUAUGUAGUGCUUCCUGUGUGAAUGCUAAAAACACAAAUUUGUGUAUAAUCAAGGCCCCCAAUGACCCCAGUUUCACUAGUGUUUUAGUCUCUGAAAGUUCAAAAUAUUUCAUAAGACUGCAUUACUUUUUGUAUAGCCCGUCUUCUCGCUUGUGCUACUAAUUUAGGUAGUGCAACCUUCUUUUUUUGCAUUGCCUAAGGCGUCUUGCGUCCUAGUUGUUAGUACAUCUCUGAGAGAAAGCGAUCAAAAUUAAUCAGUACCACAAUAGGAAAUAAGUUGAAAUUUUAAGAUUUUGUAUUAAUUUUUUGAGUUCUUUUUAACGUGACUUAAUACUUCCAGUUCCAUAAUCGUACUUUGUUAUUCAUCACAUUUUAAUAUAGGUGUAGGUGAAUAUAGAAUUGCAUUUAAUUGUUGAACUUACUUUUGUGAUACAAAAAACGUUUCUUUUAGUUUAAUAAUACUUGACGCGGUCUCAAUAAUUUAAAUUUGAAAAUCUUUCUAUUGUUAAUAAUAGGAUUAAUUAAUAAUAAGAUUAAGAAAACUUGAAAUGCUCAAUACAUAAAAUUAUUGAUGAAUUUAUUACAAAGAAUUAUUGGGACCUUUGUUAAUUUAGAUUAAUACUCGCUUGACCGUUCCAUUUAAUCUCUAAGUUAAUUAUUAGUACUUUAUCUCAAGGAUUAUUGUAUUUCACAGUUUAAAUCGAAUAAUGAUAAUUACCUGACAUUGUUUACCCACAUCUACACAAUGUUUCUGUCUGUUUAAAAGUGUCUCACUUUUUAAAUGUAAUUUAAGUACGUUUAUGUUAUUGUGAAGCUUUUGUGAAUAUUAGAUUGAGCCAAUAGUCUGUUGUAAUGUUAUAAAUUUUUAUAAUUUCACUUUUGCUUAUAAGGUGAAAAAUCUGAAUACGUGGCAAUGUAAUUGCAUUUGUAAAUAACAUAUAUAUGCAUAUUCAGAGUAAUGGCUUGUGCAAUGGUAAUAAUAGAUGCAUAUUUGUUAUAAAGCUUACAUACGUACAUUGAGAUACUUGAAUAACAUUAACUGUUAGCUUAUUACAACAAUUAUUAUGAUAAUACUGAUAUCCUGAAUGCGACUGGAUAAUUUAUAGAAAAAAUAAUGGCUCGAUCUAUGUUAUACAUUUGAAUGUUGACCUCUCAUGCUUAAAAUUUAUGCUCCUGUAAACUUUCCAUUUGUAAAUUUAUUUUUGAAAUUCGAGAAUUAUGUUCUUAAAGAACUUCACAUACAGCAUCAAAGGGAUCAACACUCAUUGCGCGAUACAACGUCAGUUGUUGCAAUUUAUAAUGUUCUUCCUGCAUGAGAUGUAUAUGUCAUUUUUAUAUCUUCUGUCAGUAAUGUUCAUUCUGUGUACACAAUAAAACCAUCCAUUACAUAUGUAUAUGUAUAUAUGUAUAUACAUAUAUGUUUGGAUUAGGUAUUCUAAAUUGCACAAUAUAGAACUUGUGUUUUGUCAGUUUCAUGUAGUUCAUGCAUUAAUAUUAACUAUUUAAUGCAAAUAAGGCUUACCUUGAAGAAGCAAGUAUUAUGAAUUGCAAAUUGUCGAGCAUUCUUUUACUCGUCUCAAUAUGCAUGUUGUACAGUCUAUGCACAAUUCAUAAAUGUGUACAGCAUUUCUCAAUCUUUUACUAUGCUCUUAACAUUGCAGCUACCUAUGUGCAGUUUAAGGUAUUAAACAAAAUCGUAACAAGGUAGCAAAAAUCUCAGCUGAACUCAGAUGAAUCUCAGAUGUAUACGUAUAUAGUACGCACUUAUGAACAAUAGAAUGUGAAAAAACAAUAUUUGGACGAUUGGGAAGCGCUGAUCAACUUUAUAUCUAUUCAAUUCACAAAUCACAAUUAUCAGUGUUCAGAUGGUAACAAAAGAAUAUUGAAUUUUUUAAUUAGGACUAGGCGGCAGGUACGAGGCUUUGCCUCUGGCAACAGCAACCACAUUCGAUUAUAAACAACGGAUAAUAUAACAACAAUACAUUUUUACUUCGUACAACAUACAUGCUUCAAUUCCUGUUAAAUCGCUUUAAUUCUGAUUCAAAUUUCAAUUAUUAAUUUAUUAUGAGUUCAUGGUUAAACGAAAAUUUUUAUUUCCAUCACAUUAUUUAUUAUUUAUGUUUAAUAAUUAUUUAAUUCCCCCGACGAAAAUCAGCGAAUUUUAGAAGUUAUUAUUUACUGUUUGUUAUUAUCGUAAUUUAAAAAUAUGCUUAGCAAUGAUAUGAAUAAAUUUUGUAAAUAUUCUGAUAUAAGUAUAAAGUUGAUGACGUGAUAAUUGUAGACGUGUAGUACAUUUAAGUUCUGUAGAUAUUCACAGAUGAUAUUAAGUAAAUAAUUUGUGAGCUCUUAUUUCCAGUACAUAAUUUUAACACGAUUAAAUGUUUUGACACAAUUUAGGAACAUUGCGAUACUGUAAUAUCCAGUGCAAAUUUAGCUUCUAGAGUAAGUUAAGGUAUAUGUCUAUUUUUAAUAACAAAUGAAUUUUCUCCUGCAUCGUAAAGUAGUUCAAUUUUAUACUUCAGACUGUAAAAGCUACAGGUACUAGACAUUUUAAUAUAAUUUAUGUGCUUUCAUGCCACUUGCAUAAUUUUAAAUAGUUUCAGAUCUCUGAAUAUUUAUACAAAGUAGAAAACAUACUAACACUGCUAAUUAGAAUGUAUUAUCUAAUAAGGAGAUUGUCAGUCCUUACUAGACUUCGCUUAAAUGUAUAAGAAUAAAAAUUAUUCAAAUGAAGUUUCAAUUGUAUCGUUAAUACCAAACUGAUUGUAAACUGGACUUUCAAAUAAUGCUGAAAUCCAAAUAAUAGCAAUUAAUAGAAUAUUUAUAACGUAAAUUUGUAAAAGAAAAUUGAAAUAUUUGUAAAAUAAAAAUAUUGUAAACAAUCUUCAAA